UACGUAGGUGGCAAGCGUUAUCCGGAUUUACUGGGUGUAAAGGGCGUGUAGGCGGGUCUGCAAGUCAGAUGUGAAAUCUCCGGGCUUAACUCGGAAGUGUCAUCUGAAACUACGGAUCUUGAGUACUGGAGAGGAAAGCGGAAUUCCUAGUGUAGCGGUGAAAUGCGUAGAUAUUAGGAGGAACACCAGUGGCGAAGGCGGCUUUCUGGACAGUAACUGACGCUGAGGCGCGAAAGCGUGGGGAGCAAACAGGAUUAGAUACCCGGGUAGU
rnacentral:rRNA from 1 species